UUAAUAUAUAUUUUUGUUUUUCAGCUUUUCUUUAUUUCCCCCCCAGCCGUUUACUAUUCUUCUCCUCUCCCCCAGUCGGGAUUCCAAGCCUCCAACCUCCAAACAGUCGUUGAUCUACCACCUCCGAACACCCAGGUUGUCGACCAUUUGACCACUUCCCAGCGACCUUCUCUUGCCUUCAAUCCUCGUCACACUCUCCGUCUGGAUCGAAGCCAUGCGUUGCCUCCGACUUCAAGCUCAUCUCUGUUGGGUCGAUUGAAUUUGAGCGGCGCCUCUACUUGCUGGGAAUGUUGCCUCCCUCAUCGUCGCCUCCGCUAGCCAGGUAAAGGCAAGGGUAAGAUGGACCAACCAUGAGUUGGAGCGCUCUGGGGGCGGGGUGUGCAUUGUCAGCUUCUCGUCCGCCACGACCGAGAGAUUAUACAAGAACAAAAAACCUAAAAUGUGAAUUUUUCCAUUACAAUGGCCUUUGAUGAUACAUAACUUUUGGAAGUUUGUAAAUUUGUCCUUUAAUCCCUAUUUUUGGGAUCCCAUAUUCUAAACAUUUAUUUUAAUGAAAAUUAUCUGCUUAUGACCAAAA